rnacentral:rRNA from 1 species
GGAUUAGAUACCCUGGUAGUCCACGCCGUAAACGAUGAGUACCAGCUGUUUGUGAGUUCGAUAUCACAAGUGGUGCAGCUAACGCAUUGAGUACUCCGCCUGGGAACUACGGUCGCAAGACUAAAACUCAAAGGAAUAGACGGGGACCCGCACAAGCGGUGGAACAUGUGGUUUAAUUCGACGCAACGCGAAAAACCUUACCUGGGUUUGACAUCCUUUGCCAGUCUUGGAAACAAGAUUUUCUCUUCGGAGACAAAGAGACAGGUGCUGCAUGGCUGUCGUCAGCUCGUGCUG